rnacentral:rRNA from 1 species
CAGCAGCCGCGGUAAUACAGAGGGUGCGAGCGUUGUCCGGAAUCACUGGGCGUAAAGGGCGCGUAGGCGGUGCGAUAAGCGUGCGGUGAAAGCCCGGGGCUCAACCCCGGGUCGGCCGUGCGGACUGUCGGACUGGAGCACUGUAGAGGCAGGUGGAAUUCCGGGUGUAGCGGUGGAAUGCGUAGAGAUCCGGAAGAACACCGGUGGCGAAGGCGGCCUGCUGGGCAGUGGCUGACGCUGAGGCGCGACAGCGUGGGGAGCAAACAGGAUUAGAUACCCUGGUAGUCCACGCCGUAAACGAUGGGCACUAGGUGCCUGGGGGAGCGACCCUCCGGGUGCCGGCGCUAACGCAUUAAGUGUCCCGCCUGGGGAGUACGGCCGCAAGGCUGAAACACGAAUGAUCCGAUGU